GUUGUUGGAUUCAUUUUAAUCCAUGUGUGUUGGUGUGGGUUGUGAUGAAAUUUAGUUUAAAUUCUACAACAAUCCAACUCAACACAUGUGGAUUGAUGUGAAUCCGACU
rfam:Sorghum bicolor cultivar BTx623 chromosome 4, whole genome shotgun sequence.